GAUGAAGAACGUAGCGAAAUGCGAUAAGGAGUGUGAAUUGCAGAAUUCAGUGAAUCAUCGAAUCUUUGAACGCACAUUGCGCCCGCCAGUAUUCUGGCGGGCAUGCCUGUUCGAGCGUCAUUACAACCCUCAGGCCCCCGGGCCUGGCGUUGGGGAUCGGCGGAGCCCCCCGUGGGCACACGCCGUCCCCCAAAUGCAGUGGCGGUCCCGCCGCAGCUUCCAUCGCGUAGUAGCUAACACCUCGCGACUGGAGAGCGGCGCGGCCACGCCGUAAAACACCCAACUCUUCUGAAGUUGACCUCGAAUCAGGUAGGAAUACCCGCUGAACUUAAGCAUAUCAAUAAGCGGAGGA
rnacentral:misc_RNA from 1 species